rnacentral:rRNA from 1 species
UACGUAGGGGGCUAGCGUUGUCCGGAAUCAUUGGGCGUAAAGCGCGUGUAGGCGGUCCGGUAAGUCCGCUGUGAAAGUCGGGGGCUCAACCCUCGAAUGCCGGUGGAUACUGUCGGGCUUGAGUGCGGGAGAGGCGAGUGGAAUUCCUGGUGUAGCGGUGAAAUGCGCAGAUAUCAGGAAGAACACCCGUGGCUAAGGCGGCUUCCUGGUCCAGCGCCGACGUUCAGGCACGAAAGCGUGGGGAGCAAACAGG